UACGGAGGGUGCAAGCGUUGCUCGGAAUUAUUGGGCGUAAAGGGCAGGUAGGUGGUCUCAUUUGUCUGGGGUGAAAGCCUUGGGCUUAACUCAAGAAGUGCCCCAGAAACGGUGAGACUAGAGUCCUAGAGAGGGUCGUGGAAUACCCGGUGUAGCGGUGAAAUGCGUAGAGAUCGGGUGGAACACCAGAGGCGAAGGCGGCGACCUGGAUAGGUACUGACACUCAACUGCGAAAGCGUGGGGAGCAAACAGG
rnacentral:rRNA from 1 species